rnacentral:rRNA from 1 species
UACGUAGGGGGCAAGCGUUGUCCGGAAUCAUUGGGCGUAAAGAGCGUGUAGGCGGCCCGAUAAGUCCGCUGUGAAAGUCCAGGGCUCAACCCUGGAAUGCCGGUGGAUACUGUCGGGCUCGAAUCCGGAAGAGGUGAGUGGAAUUCCUGGUGUAGCGGUGAAAUGCGCAGAUAUCAGGAGGAACACCAAUGGCGAAGGCAGCUCACUGGGACGGUAUCGACGCUGAGACGCGAAAGCGUGGGGAGCAAACAGG